rnacentral:tRNA from 1 species
GUGGUAGUAGCUCAGCUGGUAGAGCGCCGCUCUGUGGAAGCGGAGGUCAUGGGUUCAAGCCCCAUUUACCACC